rnacentral:misc_RNA from 1 species
GACGGCGGGGGCGAGUACACAGGAUAGACUGGGUGUAAAGGAUCCGUAGGCGGAACGUGCCUGUCCCGCCCUUCCCGGCGGAGGAGGCCUGCGCUGGGGGCGGGGAGCGGCGUUCUAGAGGCAAGGAGGGGCGUUCGGAAUUCCCGCGCGACCGGUGAAAUGGAACGACCGCGGGAGGAACACCGGAGGCGAAGGCGGAACGCUGGCCUUGGCCUGACGCUGAGGGAUGAAAGCGUGGGGAGCGAAAGGG